CUAAGGGAGCAAGUCGAGCGAAUCAAUGGGAGCUUGCUCCCUGAGAUUAGUGGCGGACGGGUGAGUAACAAAUGGGCAACCUGCCUAUAAGACUGGGAUAACUUCGGGAAACCGGAGCUAAUACCGGAUAAUUCUUUUCUACACAUGUAGAAAAGCUAAAAGACGGUUUACGCUGUCACUUAUAGAUGGGCCCGCGGCGCAUUAGCUAGUUGGUGAGGUAACGGCUCACCAAGGCCACGAUGCGUAGCCGACCUGAGAGGGUGAUCGGCCACACUGGGACUGAGACACGGCCCAGACUC
rnacentral:misc_RNA from 1 species